rnacentral:tRNA from 1 species
AAGGUUCUAAGUUAAUUAAACUGUAGGCCUUCAAAGCCUAAAAUAAAGAAAUAUCUUUGAACCUUG